GAUGAAGAACGCAGCGAAAUGCGAUACGUAGUGUGAAUUGCAGAAUUCAGUGAAUCAUCGAAUCUUUGAACGCACAUUGCGCCCUUUGGUAUUCCAAAGGGCAUGCCUGUUCGAGCGUCAUUUGUACCCUCAAGCUUUGCUUGGUGUUGGGCGUCUUGUCUCCAGUCCGCUGGAGACUCGCCUUAAAGUCAUUGGCAGCCGGCCUACUGGUUUCGGAGCGCGGCUCAAGUCGCACUCUUUUCCAGCCAAGGUCAGUGUCCAACAAGCCUUUUUUCAACUUUUGACCUCGGAUCAGGUAGGGAUACCCGCUGAACUUAAGCAUAUCAAUAAGCGAGGA
rnacentral:misc_RNA from 1 species